GGUACUAGGUAGGAGUGACCCGUGUGGCCCUAAAUGAGCCCACCGGCCCAGGUACUCUCGGCCCACGCGUUCGUGGCCAGAAACGACGCCGCGUCACCUUCCCUCCCGGUCCUGGACCAGACAACCGACGCCGCAACUCCUUUCUACUCUGUACCCGCCACCUCUCCCCGUCUCCGGCGUGGCGACGCCGACGCCGACGCCGACGGCCGACCGAUGAUACUCCGCCGCCUGCAUGUACGCGUCUCCCGCCUAUCCCUCGCGUCCGCCGCCCUCCUCGAUGUGGCGCCGCGCGCCUUGCCCUCCGCGGGCCUCUUCCGUGCCCGUGGCCUCCACGGCGCGGCGGGGGACGACGGCGCCUCCUCGGAGCACGGACGCAAACCCGCAGGUCCUCUUACGCUCUACAGGAAUCUAGUAAGCCAAGGGAAGCUCACGCAUGAUAGUUACCAGGAAAAUGUAGCUUCUGAAUUAGACAACUUACUUAGUAGGCUUCAACAGUACGAGAUGGAAAUGGAGGAUUAUCAUAACAAGCUGUACAUCUGGGAGAAUAGCAGGGAGAAAGAGCGGCGGAAGCUUCUUGUCCAAGAAGCUGAAGAUAAGCAGCGUGAUGGUGUAUGGAUAGAUGAGAAAAGAGGAUUUCUUGACAAGUUGGUUACACGGAGAAGAAGAGGAAACAUAGAACCUGGAGUUGGUAAGUGGGUCUCGUACCUGAACCGAGAGAAGAAACUAGAUACAUUGGUAGGCCAUAGACCAGUCGCUCCUGUUGCUCCUAAAGGAUUGUAUCUCUAUGGAAAUGUUGGAAGUGGCAAGACAAUGUUGAUGGACAUGUUCUAUGGGGCCACUGAAGGUGUCAUCAAACACAGGAGAAGGUUUCACUUUCAUGAGGCCAUGCUUGAAAUACACGAUCAUAUGCAUGAUGUAUGGAAGAGACGUGAUGAUGACAAAUCUAUUCACUCAAGUGCCUUCAAUUGGAUAUCAAGCCUUCCAUUUGAUGUGAAAAUUAAGGAGUGGUUGAUUGGCGAAGAGAAGUACAAACAACAGACGCAGGAAAAGCACAUCCUUUUGGCAGUUGCUGACAAGUUUUUGGUUGAUAGACAGGCAAAUAAAACUGGAGCAAGCAUUCUAUGCUUUGAUGAGAUACAGACUAUCGAUGUUUUUGCAGUUGUAGCACUUUCUGGCAUUCUAAGCAGGUUGUUAAGCACAGGGACAGUACUUGUAGCAACCAGUAAUAAAGCACCAGAAGAUCUGAAUCAGGAUGGAAUGCAAAGGGACAUCUUCCUUGAGUUAUUAUCAAAAUUGGAUGAAAACUGCAAUAAGAUUCUUGUGGGUACUGAAAAGGAUUAUCGUCGCCUAAUUCCGACAGAAGGCUCAACUGAGGUUCACUAUUUUUGGCCUGCUACUUCUGACGCUCGCAGCAUGUAUGAGGCUAUGUGGUAUGACAUAACUAACAAAUCAGGAGGAAAUAUUAUUUCUGUCACCAUUCCUGUAAUGUUUGGGAGUCGCCUGUUGACAGGUCUAUUGAGAUUCCUCAAAGCUGUAAUGGCGUCGCAAGGUUUGACUUCGAAUAUCUAUGCGGUCGCCCAGUCGGAGCUGCAGAUUAUAUAGCAAUAGCUAGGAGCUACCAUACAAUUUUCAUAUCAGACAUUCCAGCUAUGAGUAUGAAGAUCCGUGACAAGGCAAGAAGGUUUAUCACUCUUAUCGAUGAGUUGUACAACCAUCACUGCCGCCUUAUAUGCCUAGCUGCCUCAUCCAUUGAUGAUCUUUUCCAAGGAACUGAGGAAGGACCUCUUUUUGAUUUAGAGAGUUUUCAGUUCGAAACCGAGUCCGAAGGGACAAAGCUGAGGAGGGAUGUUUUAGCAGGAGGCAAUGUUGGCUUAGGACCGUCUACGACCGGACUUGUGGCAAUAUUGUCUGGUCAAGAAGAGAUGUUUGCAUUCCGCAGGGCGAUAUCUCGGCUUAUCGAAAUGCAGACACCGCUGUAUCUGGAGCGUGUGCAGGAUGUGCAUCCCUCAUUCCGGCUGCAGUGUCCUCCUGGUCUUGCAAGCAAUAGGACUGCAGUUCCUCAGCCUGCUCCGGCGGUUUGACAGCCUCGCUGUACCAUUGCUUUAUUUCAAAUUUCGUAUGAGAAGGCAAUAAAAUCAACCAGAGAUGGUAACAGUGGGGCAUUGUAAAUAAUAAUGGAAACGUUGUGAUUUAUAAUAAGUUAAAGUUUGCCGUUGCCUAGGCGUGAGGAUUUGUUUC